AAGUCGUAACAAGGUUUCCGUAGGUGACCUGCGGAAGGAUCAUUAAAUAAUCAAUAAUUUUGGCUCGUCCAUUAUUAUCUAUUUACUGUGAACUGUAUUAUUACUUGACGCUUGAGGGAUGCUCCACUGCUAUAAGGAUAGGCGGUGGGGAUGUUAACCGAGUCAUAGUCAAGCUUAGGCUUGGUAUCCUAUUAUUAUUUACCAAAAGAAUUCAGAAUUAAUAUUGUAACAUAGACCUAAAAAAUCUAUAAAACAACUUUUAACAACGGAUCUCUUGGUUCUC
rnacentral:misc_RNA from 1 species